rnacentral:rRNA from 1 species
UACGGAGGGUGCAAGCGUUGUCCGGAUUUAUUGGGUUUAAAGGGUGCGUAGGCGGCUCUUUAAGUCAGUGGUGAAAGCCGACAGCUUAACUGUCGAAAUGCCAUUGAUACUGGGGAGCUUGAGUACAGUAGAGGUAGGCGGAAUUAAUGGUGUAGCGGUGAAAUGCAUAGAUACCAUUAAGAACACCGAUUGCGAAGGCAGCUUACUAAGCAAACAUUGACGCUGAGGCACGAAAGCGUGGGGAUCAAACAGG